AAGUGGAUUAGUGGCGCACGGGUGAGUAAUCGCAUAGGUAAUAUGCCCCAUAGUCUGGGAUAGCCACUGGAAACGGUGAUUAAUACUAGGAUACUCCCUACGGGGGAAAGAUAUUUCGCUAUGAGGAUCAGCCUAUGUCCUAUCAGCUUGUUGGUGAGGUAAUGGCUCACCAAGGCUAUGACGGGUAUCCGGCCUGAGAGGGUGAACGGACACACUGGAACUGAGACACGGUCCAGACUCCUACGGGAGGCAGCAGUAGGGAAUAUUGCUCAAUGGGGGAAACCCUGAAGCAGCAACGCCGCGUGGAGGAUGAAGGUUUUAGGAUUGUAAACUCCUUUUGUUAGAGAAGAUU
rnacentral:rRNA from 1 species